UCAUACCAGCCUGUUCACACUCUGUGCAGCAGUCAAUCUCAGUCAGCACACAGCAUGGACAUGAGGGCCCCUGCUCAGCUCUUGGGGCUCCUGCUGCUCUGGAUCCUAGGAGCCAGGUGUGAAAUCCAGACGGCCCAGUCUCUAUCCUCACUGUCGCUGUCUCUAGGAGACACCGCCACCUUCACUUGCAGGGCCAGUGAGAGAAUUGGUUACAGUUUAGCUUGGUACCAGCAGAAACCAGGGAAAGCUCCAAAACUCCUGAUCUAUGCUGCAGAUACUUUGUUGUCUGGAGUUCCAUCAAGGUUCAGUGGUGAUGGAUAUGGGACAGAGUUUACUCUCACCAUCAGCAGCCUGCAGCCUGAAUAUGUUGCCACUUAUUACUGUCAACAAG